AUGGAAGCCUCGCGGUUCGGCUUCGGCCGCGACAUGGCGGCGGCGUUCAAGUUCGACCCCACCGACGCCGACAUCGUCGCCUCCUACCUCCUCCCCCGCGCGGUCGGCCUCGACAAGCCCCACGGCCACGGGCGCGCCGUCAUCGACGACGACCCCAUGAGCCUCCCGCCGUGGGACCUCAUGGAGAAGCACAACCACGGGACCAGCGACCAGGCCUUCUUCUUCGGGCCUCCCAGGAACGGGGGCCGCGUCAAGCGCGUCGUCAAGGGCGGCGGCAUGUGGCAAGGGCAGAAUGGCAGGGUCGGGACCGUCACCCUGUUCUGCGAUGGCGCCGGCGAGGUGGACAUCAGCUACAGGAGGUACGACCUCACCUACAAGCGCGCGGGGAACAAGGACCCCAGCGGCUGGGUCAUGAGCGAGUACCAGAUCACCUCGCCUCCGCUCUUGAGCACGGUGCUCACCCGCAUCGGAUUGACCGUCGCCGCCGGGGAGCAGAGGAAGCGACAGCCGGCCGACCAGGAGGCGUUUGCUCAGCAGGGCCCUGACAAGGUGCUGGCCGUCGCAGCCGCUGCCGCCGCCGCCGAACAUCAACGGGUGUCACCACCGCCAUUGAAGUCAGGCCCUGACGCGCAAGCUGACGAUGGUGCUCUCUACCAUGACGAUACUAGCGUCACCGGCGUGGAGGAGAACGGUGGGCACUACACUGUUCCGCUUCUGCUCAACGGCCAAGAGUACUACAAGGACAAGAGCCGCGUCAAACGCAAACGGCGGCGAUAUGGGGCAUGA
rnacentral:rRNA from 1 species